rfam:Thiorhodospira sibirica ATCC 700588 ctg289, whole genome shotgun sequence.
GUCAACUACCCCACCCUGAAGGGCGGAGCUUUGAAAGCAAGCUAGGUUGACCAGCCUAAGCCCUGUUAAAGGGGCUACGUGUACAACAGGUCGUUAAGACUCACCGGCGGAUGCUUCCUCAGUCUGCCGCUCUGAAAGGUCAGGAUCAUGCUGACGAAAGGUAAAACGUCGAAGGUUUUGAUCGCCGUGCAAGCGGGAGCCGGUUGUACACAUUGGCGAGGGGAGCGAC